UGAAAUUUCUUGUUAAUGAAGAUGGCUGA
rnacentral:piRNA from 1 species